UACGUAGGGCGCAAGCGUUGUCCGGAAUUAUUGGGCGUAAAGAGCUCGUAGGCGGUCUGUCGCGUCUGUUGUGAAAACUCGAGGCUCAACCUCGGGCUUGCAGUGGAUACGGGCAGACUAGAGUGCGGUAGGGGAGACUGGAAUUCCUGGUGUAGCGGUGAAAUGCGCAGAUAUCAGGAGGAACACCGAUGGCGAAGGCAGGUCUCUGGGCCACUACUGACGCUGAGAAGCGAAAGCAUGGGGAGCGAACAGG
rnacentral:rRNA from 1 species